GGAGUUAGCCGGUGCUUCUUCUGUGAGUGAUGUCCUUCCUGCCGGCUAUUAACCCGCAGGCCUUCUUCCUCACUGAAAGUGCUUUACAACCCGAAGGCCUUCUUCACACACGCGGCAUUGCUGGAUCAGGGUUGCCCCCAUUGUCCAAUAUUCCCCACUGCUGCCUCCCGUAGGAGUCUGGGCCGUGUCUCAGUCCCAGUGUGGCUGAUCAUCCUCUCAGACCAGCUACGGAUCGUCGCCUUGGUGAGCCGUUACCUCACCAACCAGCUAAUCCGACAUAGGCUCAUCCGAUAGCGCGAGGCCCGAAGGUCCCCCGCUUUCCCCCGUAGGGCGUAUGCGGUAUUAGCCUGGGUUUCCCCAGGUUAUCCCCCACUACCGGGCAGAUUCCUAUGCAUUACUCACCCGUCCGCCGCUCGCCACCAGGGAGCAAGCUCCCCGUGCUGCCGCUCGACUUGCAUGUGUUAGGCCUGCCGCCAGCGUUCAAUCUGAGCCAGGAUCAAACUCUGA
rnacentral:rRNA from 1 species